CAUCUUCUCUAACUCAACGUGAGCUCAACUCUUAAACCCAAUCAACACUGGGUGCACAGACCAAGAUAAAGUCCUGAGGCACAAGACUCAGGAUGGUACUUGGCCAACCCUAAUCUGAUCUUUGGGCCUAACACCAUCCUCUACAAAGUCUCCCCCGUACCAAGGAAGAUCCAGAAGUUAUGAUUGAGAUGUAUGUUCCCAGGGCCUGGAUAUUUU
rnacentral:lncRNA from 1 species